rnacentral:rRNA from 1 species
GACAGAGGGUGCAAACGUUGUUCGGAAUUACUGGGCGUAAAGCGUGCGUAGGCGGUUGGCAAAGUCAGCUGUGAAAGCCCCGGGCUUAACCUGGGAAUGGCGGUUGAAACUAGUCGACUCGAAUCUGGCAGAGGGGGGUGGAAUUCCACGUGUAGCAGUGAAAUGCGUAGAGAUGUGGAGGAACACCGAUGGCGAAGGCAGCCCCCUGGGCUGAGAUUGACGCUCAGGCACGAAAGCGUGGGGAGCAAACAGG